rnacentral:rRNA from 1 species
AGGUGACCUACCUAUUGCUGGGGAACAACCCCGGGAAACCGGGGCUAAUUCCGCGUACGCUUUUCAAUCUGCGGGUUGAAAAGGAAAGAUGGCCUCUUCAUGAAAGCUAUCGGCGAUAGAUGGGCCUGCGGGUCAUUAGCUUGUUGGUGAGGUAACGGCUCACCAAGGCUACGAUGAUUAGCUGAUCUGAGAGGAUGGUCAGCCACACUGGAACUGGAACACGGUCCAG